GACCUCUGAACGGCUCGAAACUAGCCAAAAGCAACUCAAGAACAUCAAAUAAUGCCAAAGGAACAAACCCAAUCGAUAAAGGCUGAAUCUUUAAACAAAAGCCUAAAGUCAACCAAAAAGUCAAUCCCAUGCUCGCACCUCUGAACCCAACAAAACUCAAUAAAUUCGACAGCGCAUUCAAUUACGAGUCCAACCAUACUAAUUUCAUCAAAUUCUGACUCCGAAUCGAUGCUCAAAACUCGAUUAUUCACUUUAGAAAAGUUUUUGAUAAAAAACCCCCCAAUUCUCCAAUAAAAAUAUGGAUUAAUUCAAAUAUGAACCUCUGUGAUCAUAUUAAAAUACAAAAAUUUUAGUUAGAUACUGACCCCCAUGAAAAGACGAGAAGAACGCCGUGAAAAUCACCUCAAUCGGGGCUCUAGAACUCAAGAUAUGCUCAAAAUACCAAAAGAACACAGUCUGAUUUUAUUUUAUACACAGGGAUUUUCGCUUUUGCGACAAAAACUCCGCACCUGCACAUUUCCAGCUGUCAUAUUUGCUUUUGUGGACCACAUUUCGCAGCGGACCUAACUUCGCAUAUGCGAAGCACUAGCACCAGCUCUCUUCUCCGACAUUAAAAUGAGCAUAACUCCCUCAUACGAUGUCCAAAUUCGACGAUUCUUUUUGCUAUGGUUCCAUAAUUUCGAUACGGAUCUAAUGCUUCAAUCAAAACAGAAAUUGGAGCUCAUUUGAUUAAAGUUGUACCAUUUAUGCUUGAAAAAACAACGUUGAAACAUAAAAAACGAGCGCAACACAACCCAAACCUAUUCGAAACUCACCCGAGCCCCACGGGACCCCGUACGAACAUACCCAAAAGUCUCAUAUCAUAACACAGAUGUAUUCGAGGUCUCAAAUCACGCAUAAAAAUAUCAAAACCAUGAAUCGCAUCUCAAAUCGAACUUAAUGAACUUUUGAACUUUCAACUUCCAAAACUCGUGCCGAACCAUAUCAAAUCAACUCGGAAUGACCUCAAAUAUUGCACAAAAGUCCCAAAUGACAUAACGAAGCUAUUCCAAUUCCCAGAACCAUAAUCUGAACCCGAUAUCAUUAAAGUCAACUCCCGGUCAAACUUAUGAAUAUUCCAAACCUUCAAAUUUCCAAAUUUCGUCAAAUAUUGCCGAAAUCUUUUAGAAAUAUCCAAAUGCAAAUUCGGGCAUAUGCCCAAGUCCAAAAUUACCAUCCAGACCUAACAAAACCAUCAAAACUCCGAUCCGAGGUCAAAUACUCAAAAGUCAAGCUUGGUCAACGCUUCCAACUUAAAGCUUCAAACACAAAAUUCAUUCUUCCAAACUAAUUUCGAAUCACCCGAAAACCGAAACCGUCGAUGCACAAAAGUCAUAAUACAUCAUACGGAGCUACUCAUGCUCUCAAAUUACCGAGCAAAGUGUAAAAUGCUUAAAUAACCGAUCGGGUCGUUACAUUUUGCAUGUAUGAUAGGUUGUUGAAUACAUUCAUAAUGUGAUUUGUGAUUGAUAUAUAUCCAACUAGUUAAAUUAGACAUACACAUAAAAUAAGAAAAAAAUUAUUUCAUCUUUCAUGAAAAGUAAAUAGAUAAUGUCAUAAUUGUACUAUCAUGCAUCUCAAAAUAAUUUAUUUACAAGUCAUCCUUGAUUAUUUCAUUUCGAGUGGGCAUGGUUGUAAAAUAUAGCUCGAUUGUCGUAUUUUUGACAUUUAGAUCUUGUGCUCAUUUAGGCUUGACCCGAAUGAUUUGGUUUUUGAUUAUUUACUAUUAUUAGUUUUUCUAUAAAAAUGUUUUCCUUUAUGUAUGAUACAUUUCAUAUACAAUAAUCAUUCUUUAUUCAUUAAACCAAUUCUUUCAGUUCAUUCAUUAGACACUAAGAUUAUUUAGGGAUAGUCCUUUGAGGGUAGCUCUUCUCUACUCUUGGCAAAUUAUUUCGGAUUGAGCUUUCUUUUAGUCAUUCACUCAAAAUAGUUAACCUUUGUACGUAAAUUAAAUUCUUUCAAAGUGUAUUCUUUAGAUAGUACUCAUUUGGCCAAUUUACAAAUAUUUUAAUCAUCAUUACAUAUUCUCUUAUACUUUCAUUGCUUUAGCAAAUUCUUAUACUUAUCCAUUCAUUUUAAAAUAAAACUCUUUCAUAUUUUAUUUAUUAAGUUAAAAGUGCGAGAUAUAGUGUUCGUACAUACUUUAACCUUUUCUUAUAUUGUUUAUUACCUUUUAUUAAAUUUUAUAUUUUAGUCAAAUGCAUGCAUUAUUCCCAUCUUACUUAACUUAUUCUUUUGAAGUAUUAAAUUGUAUUCUUCAUACCUUGUGAACCAAUCUUAAAAAAUGAGAGUCAUUUUAUAUAUUUUAUUAUUUACUUUCUACUACGCAUGUGUAUAAAUAUAAAUAUGUUUUUAUUAUUCUUUGCCAUAAUUAAUUCUCUUUUAGUUAAUCUAUUUUCAUAAUUUUUUUGUGAGUAUUGAAUUCACUCUCUUUUACCUCAUUCAUUACAUAAAAGCUAUUCAAAGAUAAUUCUUUUUCUCACUUUUGAUUAAUAAUUUUUAGACAAGUUUUCUUUCAAUAGUUGAUCUUGAUCUAAACUAAACUCUUUCAAGAUUAUUCUUUUAAUUCAAAGUCAUUUGGUUAAUUUUGUAAAUACUUUACUUGUUGAUACACUCUUUCAUAUUUUGCUUAGUCAUUAAAAAUCUAACUUUUCAUGUACUUUCUUUAUUCACACCCUUGCAUAUAUUCUGUUGCACAUAAAUAUUACUAUUUUACCAUGUGAUUUUCACCUUCAAAAGUUCUUCACUCCAAAUCAUGUUGACAAUCUUUUAUAAAUAUUAAAUUUAUCGGUCUUUACCUAAUCCCUCAUUUAUUUGACUGAGUCCACCGGAACCACAUUUUGUGAGGAUGACUAACACCUUCCCCUCGAGAUAAUUUGAAUCCUUACCUAGAAUCUCAAUGGUUGUGCAGGUCAUAGUUAAAGUGUAUAUUACAUAGUAUAGUAUAGGUGUCCUAGUAUAUCUUAAAUACUAUGUGACGACUCUAAACAAUAGUUAACCUUGUAGAGUGCUAUAAGUUGUACAUUAUUUUGACUUGUGCAAAAUAGGGUGCAACAACAUGGCGACUCUGCUGGAGAUACUUCAGGUCUAACCACAACGAAUUUGAUCAAUUAGUUGAGGGAUUACAGGUUCUCUAAUACUCCAAUUUCUAUUCUUUCUGUCACAUGCUUCAAGUCGUAUAUUCUCUGCUUCAUGUUGCAUUCUCUUUGUUUCAAGCUGUAUAUUCCUUGCUUUAAGUUGUAUAUUCUUUGCUUCAAGUUGUAUAUUUAUCGUCGCAUACUUCAAGUAGUCUAUUCUUUGUCAUGUGCUUCAAGUGGUAUAAUCUUUCUCAAACGCUUCAAGCGGCAUAUCCUUUGUCUUGUUCAUGUUGUAUGUACUUCCCACAUGUCUAUGUUGUAUAUAAUGUUACAUACUUGUGUUGUAUGUUCUUUGCCACAUGCUUAUGGCACUGCCUUAUUAAACUAUCAUCACUUUUCUAUCGACUCUUGGUCGUGCACAAUCAUACACAAGUCACGCGAGGAUUGUCUUUUCAUCCCUCCGAACCUUCUUUCAAAAAUCUCUAGCAUACGAGGUUAACUACGUACCUUCUCGCAGUUGGCCUAAACUCAUGCUCGAGUCUAGGUAAAUCUACUCUAGAAUCCCUAGGUCACUGUACACACAAUCUUGCAGCUUACUUUAGCUGGAUUAAUCCUUGCAUAUCAUUUACUUGCUACAUAUUCUUUGUAUAUUCUUUGCCUGCCAUUGUUAUGUAUCCUUUAUUUGUUAUAUGUACAUUCUAUUUGUUAUCCACUAUAGGUUCUCUUCGUCUAACUAAACUCUGGUUGACUUGUGUUGAACCUUGACAUUUUAAAUAUACAUGCCCAUUCCGGUCUUUAUGACCAUCCCCAUAACCAUAUCAUCAUCCAGAUUCUACCAUCCUUCUCAAAGAUACGUCAAUCCAGCUUGGUGCAUCUUCCACUGAUUUGACAUAUCCUUCUCAAUCAUACCUCACACUUUCAAUGACUUCCAUCAUUUAAGAUAGAUGCAUGCACUAUGCUACUAUCUAUCUCGUAUUCGACAGUUACCAGUCUCAAACCACCUAAUGAUUCUCAUUCAUAAUUAUAUUCCAUCACAACGAACAAUCAUUCAUUCGUCACAACCAUACAAAUCUCAUAAGUCCAGUAGUUGGCCGAACUAAGUUUUGACCUGAUUCUUGCCCUAGCAAGAUACGUAGGCAACCCUACAUAAGGGUUCGGUCUCCCCACUAUUUCAAAUUAAUUUUCUCAGUACUGAAAACUGGGGAAGUUCUUUGGAACAGUGUGAUGAUGCUCUCAACCCAGAAAUCUCUGAGAUCGUCACCAAAUUUCACCAAAAAUCCAAACAUCAAAAUACGAUACCAACCUUACUCUGACCUUUACUCGACUUAAAUCCCAACAUAUGGGAUACAAGUCAUGUCCUCAAACACCUGGCUAUGGAGUCACGGUGAUCACUCCCACUUUCCAAAUUCAGAGAUUUGAUACAAGUCAACCCGCUUUUGUUGCAGAGGCAGGCUGUUAGUCAGCUUUCGAGGAGUGUCAUGCUCGCACGAUUCAUACAGAUAAGGAAGGACAAGAAAAGCCUCGAGUCAACACAAAACGAUUCGCCUCCCUGAAAUCUAAGAACGUUUCUUUGGAUGCAGAAAGGACAUCAUCUCCGGAACUAUCAUGGAAUGCCGACAUCGCGUUACCGAUCACAAUCUAAUACACCACUGGCUGCACGGCCUAACUCUACACCCUCUCAAUUCUGUAAUAUUGUUCUAGAGGGACUCUAACAUUUUUUCCUCUAAGUUUUGCAGGUACAUUAUCCCGGACACUUCACGGGAGAUAACAUCUGGUCUCGGACUUGGUGGAACAUCAGUCAGAUAGUCAUGGGAGUAGUAGUUUUACAAUAAACUCCAUCAUUUCUCAUGAUUUCGCUGCUCUCACCACUUUCUAUAUUCAGAUCAGAACAUCAUUCUCGAUUAUCAACCGAGGAUGAUCAUUAAAUGGUUCAUGUGGACAGCCGAAAGGUGCAUCAUCCUGGGACUACACAGGAAAUAGCAUCUGACAUCGGGCAUUGUGGAACAUCAACCAAACAAGCAGGAGAGAGUUAGUUAUAAUUCUUAAUUCCAUCAUUUUAUGAUGGCACUACUCUCACAAUAUUUCUGUAUCUUGAUCAGAUUAUCGUCCCCGGCUUAUUUAGCUGGGGACGAUAACCAAAAGGUUCCUAUGGACAGCUGGAAGGUCGCAGCAAAACAUCCCUACAGUCAAUUGGAAGACAACCACAACAACUGUCUCGCAAACUGUUAGUGGGCACCGAAGCAACAGUUUGAAGGAGCAACUGGGGCAUAUCUUCUGGAUGAGCCACUCUUCAAUGCCAGGAUACCACACCCAAUCAUGGGUACAACUAGGCAUCACUCCGAGUUUGUCUAUACCCUUGCAUUUCGUACAUAUCUCUGAUGCCAUUAAUAUUUUUAGCUGCAAUUCUUUGAAAUAAGAGAGUAAAAGAGGUGUUGAAAACCAUACAUCUCAUACUUUCACCCUUUAUGAACUACGCGUACCUCAAGAUACGUAAGCAACCUAUAAUAGGUCCGAUUUUCCUCGUCCUUAGUUGGGCGAGUCAGUCAAGUCUGGCCACUUGGGUCACAGUUGACCGAUGAUCUUUGUAAAAAGAUCAUUUCCAAAAAGUCAAAAAAAUAAACAUAUAUAUCUUCCUCUGUUGCUUAAACAGAAGUCUCCCCAUGAGACAUCAACAUCAAAAUCCAAAAAUUAUCCUCUUUCCUUGAGGAAAUUCAAAAUCCAAAACAUCUUCCUCAUACUCUCCACCUUUCCCGAACUACGCCUAGCCUGAUUCACGUUUCGUCAAGAUACGUAGGCAACUUUCAGGUUCGGUCACAUUUUUCAAAAAAUAAAAAAAUCAAUCAAGGACCCUUCUUGGGUUCGAUCUCAUCUUUCAAAAAAUAAAAAAAAUACUCCCAUUAUGCUGAGAUUUUUCAAUUUCUGUCACUCCCAUUGCGUGGAAAUUUUACAUUUCAGCCACUCCCAUCAUGUGAAGAUUUUUAAUUCUGUCACUCCCAUUACGUGGAGAUUUUACUUUCCUGUUUAUGCUCUGAUAUCACAUCGGAAUGGUACACAACCUUUCAAAGCUCCGAUAUCGCAUCGUAACGGUGCACAGCCCAUCAAAUUUUAUAUUCAUGUCAAUGCUCCGGCAUUGCAUCGGAACGGUACACAUCUCGUCAAAGCUUUGAUAUCGCAUAGGAAUGGUACACAGCCAGUCAAAUUUUACAUUUCUGUCAAUGCUCUGAUAUCGCAUCGGAACGAUAUAUAGCCCGUAAAAGCUCCGGUAUCGCAUCAGAAUGGUACACUGCCCGUCAAAGCUCCGAUAUCGCAUCAGAACGGUACACAACCUGUCAAAUUUUACAUUCCUAUUAAUACUCCAAUAUCGCAUCGGAACAAUACAUAGCCCGUCAAAGCUCUGAUAUCGUAUCGGAAUGGUACACAAACCGUCAAAGCUCUGAUAUCGCAUCGGAACAGUACAGAGCCCGUCAAAGCUCCGAUAUCGCAUUGGAACAGUACACUGCCCGUCAAAUUCUAUAUUCCUAUUAAUGCUCCGAUAUCGCAUUCGAACGGUACACAGCCCGUCAAAGCUCUGAUAUCUUAUCGGAACGGUACACAACCCGUCAAAUUUUACAUACCUGUCAAUGCUCCGAUAUCACCUAAGAACAGUACACAACCCGUCAAAGCUUCGAUAUCGCAUCGGAACGGUACACUGCCCGUCAAAUUUUACAUUCCUGUCAAUGCUCCAAAUCUCUUCGAAACGGUACAUAACCCGUCAAAGCUCCGAUAUUACAUUGGAAUGGUACACAACCCAUCAAAUUUACAUUCCUGUCAAUGCUCCGAUAUCGCAUCGGAACAGUGUAUAGCCCAUCAAAGUUUCGAAUCACAUCGGAACGGUACACGGCCCGUCAAAUUUUAUAUUCUUGUCAAUGCUCCGAUAUCGCAUCAGAACGACACACAGCCCGUCAUUUUACUUUCCUGUCCAUGCUCCGAUAUCACUUUGGAAUGGUACAUAGCCCGUCAUUUAACUUUCUUAUCGAUGCUUCGAUAUCACUUCGGAAUAGUAACUACGAAGCCCGUCUAACAUUCAAUGCUCCAAUAUCACUUCGGAACGGUAACAAAGCCCGUCCAACCUUCUGUGCUCCAAUAUCGCUUCAGAACUGUAACCACAAAGCCCGUUUUACAUAGGGUCGGGCAUUUAUUUUACUUACUAUAUUGAGAGAUUUGAAUCAGUAUAAGCAGGUAAGUAAAUCUCUAGAUCAUUUUUGACUCCCAGUUACUAUCAGUUAUCAUAUUAUCAGUUCAGUUUCAGUUUUCAGUUAUUUUAUUUUCUUAUAUACUCGGUACAUUAUUUCGUACUAACAUUCCUUUUCUAGGGGAGCUGCAUUUCAUGUGUGCAGAGACAGACGGGUUAGACCUCCUCAGUAGGUGCUGCCCAAGUCCAAUCUGAUCGAGUAGCUCACGUCCUCUGAGUGCGGCUAGCAGGUUGCUGUANNNNNNNNNNNNNNNNNNNNNNNNNGCAUCGGAACAGUGUAUACGCCCAUCAAAGUUUCGAAUCACAUCGGAACGGUACACGACCCGUCAAAUUUUAUAUUCUUGUCAAUGCUCCGAUAUCGCAUCAGAACGACACACAGCCCGUCAUUUUACUUUCCUGUCCAUGCUCCGAUAUCACUUUGGAAUGGUACAUAGCCCGUCAUUUAACUUUCUUAUCGAUGCUUCGAUAUCACUUCGGAAUAGUAACUACGAAGCCCGUCUAACAUUCAAUGCUCCAAUAUCACUUCGGAACGGUAACAAAGCCCGUCCAACCUUCUGUGCUCCAAUAUCGCUUCAGAACUGUAACCACAAAGCCCGUUUUACAUUCAAUUCUCUUUAACAAAACAAAAAAAAAAUUCUCUUAUUCAAAAUUCAAAAAAUAAAAUGAAAUAAAAAUCUAAAAAUAUUUUCUUUCUACCCUUCCUUAACUACGCUUGACUUGAUUCUCAUUUCAGCGAGAUACGUAGGCAACCUUCGGGUUCGGUCUCAUAUUUAAAAAAAACAAAAUUCAAAAAAUAUCAAUAACAAUAAAAAAAAUCAAGCGAGGACCUCUCUUGCGUUUGAUUCUAUUUAUCAGGAAAAAAUAUUAUUAAGUCAAAAUCCAAGUAAAUGAAGAAAUGCAAGAUGUGUCAGAACUAUGGCAAGCAGGAACAUGGAAUGAGCAUCUCAUUGAUCAAAGUGUACCUGAAGACAUUGUAGCACACAUCAAACUAAAUGUCCACUAUGAGGGCACUGAGGGAUUAUGGGACACUCCACUAUGGAUGCCAACAACGUCAGAAAAGUUUACUGUUAGUAGUGCUUGGCAAAUCCUUAGACCUCGAACAACUCUAUUCCAGAGUACAAAAACAUGUGGAUUAAAGGAUUGCCAUUUAAGAUAUCAUUUUUCUUGUGGAGGUUAUGGAGACAUAAACUACCUAUAGAUGACCUAUGGAGAAGGCAAGGAUAUAUAUACAUGUAUCAAAAUGCCGGUGCUGCCAAAGGCCACAGGAGGAGACCUUUGAACACAUAUUCCUAACUAGUCCUACUGCAUACAGAGUUUGGAAGACUUUCUUGGGGGCAACAGGGAUUACAGUAUCAAUGGUGCAAGUGAAACAAGGGCUUGGUGGAAUGCUAAGUGUUGUCCAAGAUUAAAACUUUUAUUUCAAGCUGCACCAGCAAUCAUCACAUGGUAAUUAUGGAAGAAGAGAAAUAAUGGCAAUAACGGGGGAUCGGUAUCUACUAAUAGGGUCAUUCAUGAAGUUAACAAGACUCUUCACUUCUUGGUAAGAUUUAGGUACUCAUGGCUAUCAAAUAUACCUGUGUUAUGGACUGAUAUGAUCCAGUUCUUUGAAGAAUAUAAACCAAUUCUGAUCACUGGAAAAGUCACAUGGCAAGUGCCUCAUGAAGGGUGGUAUAAAUGUAACACUGAUGGUGCAUCAAAGAGGAAUCCUGGACAUAGUUCACUUGGUUUUUGUGUGAGAGAUGAUGCGGGUGAUUUCAUUUUUGCAAGAGCAGCGGACAUAGGGUUAACUACCAAUGUUAUAACAGAGGCAAAGGCAAUAAUAACGGGACUGGAAUACUGUGUUAAAAGCAGUCUCCAACCUCUCAUAUUGGAGACUGAUUCAUUGCUUUUAAAGAAGGUGAUUGAGGGGCAAUGGGAUCCACCAUGGUGCAUAGGGACAAAAGUGCAGAAGAUGAAGGGAAUAAAGAAUCAUUACAAUGUGGUCUUCCAACAUGUGUUCAGAGAGGGCAAUACGGUUGCAGAUUUUAUAGCUAACAUUGUGUUCCCUUUUGCAUGUACUACACAAUUUAACAACUUCUGUGAAUUACCUAGGGCCGGAAGAAGACUGAUCAACAUGGACAAAUAUCAAAUUCCAAAUCAAAGAGUUAGGAUAGCCAAAAGAAAACCACCUGACUGAUGGAAAACAAUCUUAACAAAAUGACAAAUGCUUCAACAAGUGGAUUUACUUUCUGUUGCUGUAUUUUACUACGACAUCUACCAGUGGUAUUAGCAUGUUAUCAUGCUAAUUCUGGUGGUGUCCUUGUGAGAUAUGUAACAGAUCUGAUAAGCAAAUGGUUAACCUAUUGUCAUUCAAGAUCAUCAUGUUCUAUGGGAUCCGGCUGUUUAACUACAUCAUUACAUAGGAUUAAUUUACCAGGAGAUGUUACAGCACUCUUCAGUGGUAUUGGCAUGUCUAAUUCACAAUUCUGGAAGUGUAAUGACAGAUCAUGCAUUUGGGGCUGCAACAUGGGUUUCGCUUGGAAUUCUGGGAAGCAAAUGGAGUUGAUCUACAACAUGGAAAUGACUGGAUACAACUCAAUAACAUCGAAUGUCCUAAAUAACAUAUGCACUACACGCUGUUGUAUCAGUUCCUAUUGGUAUUAUCAAUGAGCGAUGAUUAUUCUGGGAAUGGUAUUUCAACAGAUAGGAAUGUGCUGGACAAUUGCUUAUCCAUCAAGUAAUACACUAAUUGUGCAAACAUGUUCUGGUGUAUAUUUUUAGCUGCAGAACCUGGUUUCAAUUUAAUAGGCUUCUGAUGAUGCAGAAUUUUAAAAUAUUCUUCUUCCUGAGCCUUACACAAUUCAGCAGCUUCUACGCUACAGAUUUAACGACACUCUCAUUGUUGUGGUGUGGCAAAAUUGUAUUUAAUCAUGCCUUCUACUUUACAGAGCAAAAUUUGGCGCCUGGUGAGAGAUUUGUUGGUGCUACUUCGGAGUUUUUGCAAGAGGUGUGUAGAUACAUAUGGUACAAUGACAACAAGAGAUCUUUUAAGUCUGGAAUAAAUAGUAUAAUACUACGCAACAUUACGCAUGUAAUACGUAGACUUCAUAUUGUCUUUAUUUGCUAUUCUUGUAAGACUGUGACCGAUUUGGGAAUUUAUAAUAUUAUAUUCAGGUACUAGGCAACAUGCCUAGUACAAUAUUUUCUUAAAAAAAAACAAUUCAAAAAGGGGAACAAUCCUCGGGUUUUGUCACGACCCAAAACCCGUAAUAUGUCGCGAUGACACCUAACGCCGCCGUUAGGCAAGCCCACAAGUGAAUCUCCAAUUUAUUUAUCCUUUUUUAACUUUUAAAACAGAAGUUUCCUUUUUAAAAAGAACGAAACAAGUAAGAUCUCAUGCAACCGUACAUGCUCUUUUCUAAAAAAAAAAAAAUACCAGCUUGAGAAAUACAUCAACCGUAGUGAUAGUAAUGAUAAGCACUACAGUACAUAAAUGCUAGAAGCUCCCAAAAUCCGGUGCCACAAGUGCAUGAGCAAUCUAGAGAAAAAAUAAAACUAAUACAACUACUGUCUGAAGGGUAAUAAACAAAAAUAAUAAACAAGGUAGAGGGAGACUCCGGUGCUGCAAAUCAAAGCAAGGCAAGCAGCUCACCACUAAAUCUCCGUAGAAGUGCGGCUACGCGCCCCGUGUGACCACUGGUAGUACCUGUCUCACUGCCUACACAUUCAGUGCAGAAGCGUAGCGUGAGUAUGUAAAACAACGCGUACCCAAUAAGUAUCUAGUCUAACCUCGAAGAAGUAGUGACGAGGGGUCGACUUGACACUUACUAGUGGUCAAACAGUAAUAGAAAUACAUAAAGUAGACAUGGAUAAUGUACAACAAGUGGCAACGAAACAAAUAAAAGAAAUUACAGUAAUUCCCCACAUGAGUCUAUAUCAAAUCGCUACACAUGCCAUAACCGACCUUGAAGGCGCUGACUCAACAGUUACGCACCCAAAUCCAGUCUCAAGUAUUAAGCACGAAGCUGCUGAGGCGAACGGCCCAAUCCCAUAGGAAUAGUGGUACUCAAUACUGGUGAGGCGAACGGCCCGAUCCCAUAAGAAUAGUAUUACCAUACUGCCGAUGUGAACGACCUGAUCUCAUAGAGUAAUUUAAUACACUGCCGAGGCAAACAGCCUCUUCCCACACUAUUGGAAAAUUCACCUAUGGCUAUCGCAUGGAAAACCGUUGCAACAGAUAGGUAAACCAUUGCCAUAGAGGUAUUGCAACAGUUCAGCGCCUGUUCCACAAGCUCGCGUGCCUAUAGAGCUUAAGGAACAGUUUUUGGAGCGGUUCAGAUAACCGUUGCUAUAGUAUAGUCUAUCAUAACGAUUUUCCCUUUUCCUGUUGGAAUGAUUAUUCUUAUCAACUGCAACGGUUGAAUUCCGUUACCAUAACAUUUAAUGCAACUGUAAAUAAUCGUUACUAUAUCUAUUAAAUCGUUACGGCUAUUAUAGAAAUGGCAACGAUUUCUUUAAGAUAUUGCAACGGUUGAACUACCUAUUGUAAUAGAGAUUAUUUUGGAACAGUUUGCAGGUCCUAUGGCAACGGUUCUGUUAGCUAUUGUAACAGUUUAAUUGAAUUGAAAAUAUUGCCCUUGUUGUAAAUAAAGAUUUACAUAUAUAUACAAUAAACUUUAAUACACUAAAAUUUAUAUAAAUGACAAAAUGAAACUAUUCAUAAUCCAAAUUUUUCAACAAGCUAAUAAAUCCAUAGAAGUGAUGAAAUGUUACCAAGUACAUACAUUUGAUAUUUCAAGAGUUAAAAGUUUUAAAAUGUUGAUAACAAACAUUCCUAGAAACCGCCACAUACAUCUAUAUCAAUUCAAAAUUCUCUUAAGUAGGUCUAGAUCUUCAUCACUGCCUCUGUCUUUCAUAUUUUCAUCUACUCCACCUACAAAAGAGUAUAAAUAAAGUCAUUAUCCCUUCAAGAGAAUCCGAUCUAAAAAUCCUCUUAGUCCAAAAAACCAAGGGUAAAAAAGAAGUAUAAAAUUCUGCAUUAAACCCCAAAAUUGGAUGGCAAAAUAUUGGUUUAUCCCAUAAUAUAUGGACAAAGAUAUUCUGGAGAUCAAGGCAUCAGCAACACAUAAAAAGAUACUCCUAAGAAUACAAAAUUCCAAAAAACAGUUCACAAAAAGUACAAAAAGACACACGUACUCUACCACACGCCAAUUAAUGAGGCAAAUAACUAAAUCAACUUAACAAGUAAUUUAGAACUUAACUUAAUAGAUCAACGAAGAGGAAAGAUAGUAAAGAUUACAUGUUUCAUUAGGAAAGAACCAAGAAUCUCCUAGAGACAUAUUCAGAACCCAUCUCUUGACUGUUCAACGCUACUUGUUAGAUUCUAAACAACAACAUAUAUAGCUAAAAAGUCUGUGCAUUGUCUCUUCUCCUCUAUGAUUAACCUUUUAUAAUCAAAGUGUAGUUUAAAGUUUUGAUCUUGGACCUUUCUUCAAACACAACUAUAGAAAUCAGCUUCCUAAAGCUGUUGUAAAAUGCAGCAAAACAGCUAUAAAAAUCACCCUAAAAUACAGCAAAACAGAUGCAAAUAUCGCCCAAAAAUACAGCAAAAGAACUAUAGAAAUCAGCUUCCUAAAGCUGCUACAAAAUACAGUAAAACAGCUGCAAAAAUCACCCAAAUAUGCAGCAAAACAGCUAUAGAAAUCAGCUUCCUAAAGCUGCUGUAAAAUGCAGCAAAACAGCUACAAAAAUCACCCAAAAAUGUAGCAAAACAGCUAUAGAAAUCAGCUUCCUAAAGCUGCUGCAAAAUACAGCAAAACAGCUGAAAAAAUCACCCAAAAAUGUAGCAAAACAGCUAUAGAAAUCAGCUUCCUAAAGCUGCUGCAAAAUGCAGCAAAACAGCUGCAAAAAUCACCCAAAAAUGCAGCAAAACAGCUAUAGAAAUUAGCUUCCUAAAGCUGCUGCAAAAUGCAGCAAAACAGUUGCAAAAAUCACCCAAAUAUGCAGUAAAAUAGCUAUAGAAAUCAGCUUCCUAAAGCUGCUGCAAAAUACAACAAAACAGCUGCAAAAAUCACCCAAAAAUGCAGCAAAACAGAUGCAAAUAUUGCCCAAAUAUGCAGCAAAACAGCUAUAGAAAUCACCUUCUCAAAGCUUCUGUAAAAUUCAGCAAUUCUCCUUCCGAAACCAACCCAAAAAUACGGCAAAACCCAGCAGAAAAGCCAGCUGAAAACCAGCGUGAACCCCAUCUCCAAUCGACCCCGAAACAACUCCAAAACUCAGCCAAAACUCCCUUAAAAUGACUUCACAAACAACCCCUCUUUCUCCACUAUAAAUAUCUCUUAAAACUAGUAAAACAUUGCCAGAAAGAGAGAGAGCAAAAGAGCGCACAGUGGUAGAGAAGCAACAUAAAAAAAGAGGAGAAGAAGAGGAAAGAGAAGACGUGUAACAUUUUGUACGGACUAACAUUGAUUGUUACUACCAGCAGAUGGAUGAUUGAUUGGUUGAAUAGCAGGUUGUUGUGCAGAAGAAGCUUCUCCAGGUGCACGAGCACUGAAUAUUAGCAUGUCAGGAUCAAGUCUCAAAUCGGGGUUGAGACAUUGAAGUCGUGUAAUGACGUUCAUCAUAAUAUCUUGUUCCAUAGCUUCCUUUUCUGCAUUGAACUUUUCCAGCAUUAUUUGUUGCAUCCUCUCUUCCAUUUUCUCCAUUUUUUUAAGAUAGUCUUGUUAACUCCUCGUCCAUACCAUCUUACCCGACCUGGGUGCUCAGGUCCCAUGACUGAUGCAAACGCGUCAACUAAAUCACCGUCAUCUUCACUUUCUUGAGUUGAUUGUAUUCUCUCCAUUUCAGCCUACAAACCAAAUGUAAGAAAAAAGAGUUUAAGUAAAUAAAAUUAAGUCAAUAAUUAAGAAUAAAUAAAUAAUCACGACAAACUUUAAAUUAGAAAUUUCUUACAAUUUUACUAAUUGUAUUCUCAUAAGAGCCUUUGUAUACUCGAUCGAGGUUUUUUUUUUUUUGUAGCCACAAAGAUUUCCUUACUUGAUAAAUUAUCCGAAGUAUCAGCCAUUUCCUUUUUUUUUUCUUAGUCACAUGAAAACUGGUAUAAGAAUCUUUUCAUGCAAAGUUAGCAAGUUCAUAUUUUAAGAAAAAUAAGAGAAAAAAUCAAGCCUCGAUGAUUAGAUCAAAACUUGUUUUGCCAGCAGUGUGUGGAUGCUUCAACUUUUUUCGAUUCUCGAUAUUGGUUUCGGACGUUUUCUGCAAAUAAACAAGCAAUUAGUGUCAGCUAUUAUUUUUGGAAAGCUUUAAACAGCAUAUUUUUCUAAUAGAUUUCAAUAUCUCUGAAAUAUUGAUUCAUGGUUGAUAUUGGACAACUAAUCAGCCAAUUGUUCAGGAAGUUUGUGGUGUUUCCAUUCUUUUUAGAGUGUAAUCCGAGGUCCACAUACGUAUAAUCCAAAUGAAUUUAAGCUUUAUCACUGUAAUUAACACAUUCUUAUGUAACUUUACCAAUCACAAUAUAAAAAUUUUAAUAAAAUCUAAGCAGAAACUUUCAGCAGACAUUCAUAGUGAAUAAAAUCGAUGCAGAAACUUUCUAUCACUUGAGUGUGGCUUCUUAUGGCUUGGAUGGUUAUGAUUGUCUCGGACGUGUGGCAUGCAUUUAUGAGAAAUCUCACACAUGAGAAAAUUAGGCUCAUUUAUGAAGUUCUAUCUUAUUACUUAUGUAUAUUUUCUUAUGCAUAUAUAGGUCAUGUACAGUGCUUACAUGCACAGGAAGAGGACAAGCAACCAUGAAGCAUGUUAAAAUGUCAAAGUCACUUGAAGAUUCUUGUGGUAAAGGUACUUAAACCACGUGGAAUGUUUGUGGUUCAAGCAGUAUCUUGUGCUCUAAGGUGUGGGCGAGUAAUUGUGAAUAUAUGUUUCUGUGAGAUACAUUGAUGGUGGAAGUAGCACUAUAGCCAAUGACUUCUUCUUUGAUAUAUCAGGAAAGGUGUUGAGGUUAAUAUCUGGGGUCUAAACCACUGUGCUAAAGUCUGGACUGCAAAAUCUGUGAGUUUCACCAUCAUUCUCUUUUAGCAUUUUUGGGUGCAACAAAAUAUUGACUGCUCUUAGGUAUACUUCACAAGAAUUUUGACGUGUUGCGUUUUUAUUCCAGCCUGCAAAAAACAGCCUCGAUGUAUUCACCCCAACUUGUUACAUCUGCAACUUUCUUGUGCAAAGAUGAUUUUACUUUCUUGUGCAUCUGAAGUUCCUUUGGUUUACUUCUCUUGGACAUUAUUCUUGUCUUUAUGAUAAAUUAACUCAUCAAACCAGAAAUAACAUUUACCCCUCACGUUAUGAUUCAAAUAUCUAGACAUUCAAGCACCUUAACUUGAACAGUUCUUUAUGCUAUCACUUUUUUAUUAAAGAAGCAUCUUUCUGGUUCAACCUCCAUCAAACAGAUGCUAAAGUUGCACAGAAUAAAUUAUCAUGCUUAAUUAGCAAUAGUGAACAUGGGCCUUAAUUCACAUUUUAUAAAAGAAGCAUAUUUAUUAAUCUAUAGUCUAAAGAUUAUAGCCAACUGCCAGCGAUAUUUGAGUGUCAGCUUGACUUUUUCCUUCUAAUUUUUUAAAGUGAGACUCCGGAACAAAGUUGGCAAAAGUUGGAUGUAAUUACCUUGGCGGGAUCGGAGUUUCAAUAUUCAAGAAGAUCUUUUAAGGGAUCGGAGUUUCAAUAUUCAAGAAGAUCUUUUAAGUGAGACGCCGGAACAUCUAUCGGCCUAUUCUCCAUUCGAAGCUCGUCAUUCUCAUAGGCUUCAAAGUGCUUUUUCUUCAACUAACUUUUAUACUUUCUCCAAGCAGUACAAAUUGAAUAAAAAAUCCAUUGCUUUGCCUCUUCAGAAAUGUCAUAUUUUUCCUACAAAUUUAGUACAAAUAGGUUAGUAUAAGAAAAUGUGAAAUAUCAUCCACGCUUAUUGAACAUUAGGAACUUCAAACUUGACAUAUUUUCAAAUAUCAUUUUUUGUAUCUAGUUUCCUCCAAUCAAAUACAUUAAGAGGACAAAAGGUCCCAUUCCUUCCCAAUGUGCCGAGGAAGCUACCCAACUCUUUUACAACUUCAUCAGUAGGACCAAUAGGUUGAUUUAACUCAUUUAGCACGAUUAUUUUAUGGUCCUUCCUUCCGUGAACACUUUGCAUUUGAGUAGGGCCUCUUUUUCUUUUUUGGCGUGGAAGGGCCUGCACUAAUACAAAACAAGGAUAAUCACCAAUCACUACUGUUAGUUAAUUUUAUGCUUAAAAUUUAUAUAUACUUGCAUGGUUCCUCAGAUUGUUCAAUUACUUCAUGAUUGGUAGAAUCUUCAGAUGGUUCAUGCACAGCUUGUGAUGUAGGAGUGAUGGAAUCCAUUGGCACUUGCCGCACUUGUUCUUGUACUCCUUGUGUUGUAGAAGAGGUAGAAAUCAAUGACACUUGCCGCACGUUUUCUUGCAAUUGAGAUCUUUUUGCAUGAAAGUUUCUUUCAGAUUUGGGAAAACUCUAAAGGAUUAGCACGCCGCCUCCGGUGCGGCCGAUUAUGGAGGAGUUGUUGAGCCUGGAGGAGUUGUUGAUCCUGGAGGAGAUUGUCGAUCGUCUCCUCGUAAUUUUCGAAAGCAUAGAGGUGUUGAGCCUGGAGGAGAAUGUUAAAGAUCUAGUAUGACUUGUACGCUAAAAUUAGGGAUUUACAUAUUUGAUAUUUUAUUAGAUAUAAAAAUUAAAAAAUAAAAAUAAAAAAUUAAAUUGUGGGCCCCUUUUAUUUUAGCGGGUAGAAAAUUUGGGUGAAAAAUAAGGAGGGAACUAAUGACUAUCGCAAUAGCAAAAACAAUUUAUCCAACUAUUACCAUAGAUAGAUUUAUUGCUACGGUUAUACAAAACGUUGCCAUAUAUAACUCUAUUGGAACGAUUUUAAAACUAUUGCAACGGUUCGGUUGCUAAGUGUCCCGGUAGUUCCAAUAAUUAUUUGUAACGGUUAAAACCGUAACAAUACACCAUCUAUAGCAACAGUUACUGAUUCGUGGCAAUAAAAAAUGUUGCCAUAGCUCCAAUUUCUAGUAGUUCCAUAAGAGUAAAGAAAGUUACCUCGCUCGCAGAAGUACAUGCGAGUCGAGAAGAUACAGAACCAUAGUUCAUCAAAUAUUUCCUAAUUUUUUCAAAAUAAGAGGCUAAAUCAGUAUUUUUACUCUAAUCCUCAAUCUCAGUCAAAAUCAAGGAAAUCAAUACACGGGACGAAAUAUCAUCACCUUGUGCGUACAUAGCUCCCCACAACAAGUAGCACACAAUAAUUAAUACACCUAAGAGGAUAAAUUCUCUCUUACAAGGUUAGACAAGAGACUUACCUCACUUUUCUGUCCACUAACAGGCUCUUUAACCUCACUAAAACUCCCCAAACUAAGCCGAGCAAUCCGAAGCUAAUAAAAAGUCGUAUAAACUAAUCGAUAAGUGUUCAAAAGUUCAUAAUUUAACUACUAGAGUAAUUACCCAACCCAAUUUGGAAGGUUCCUAAAAUUCACCUCCGGGCCCACAUGCCCGGAUUCUAAAAAAUUUCGUAAAUAAAUAUCACCCAUAACCUCAUGAAUACAAAUAUAUAAUUUCUACUCAAUUUCAUAAUCAUUUUCAUGGUCUAAUCCUAUUUUUAUCAAUACCUAAGCUUUUCAACAAACUCCUAAAAUUUCCAUAUUUUUACAUGUUAAAAUCUAUCCAUAAUAUAUGUAUUUAACUUACAUUAAGUAGGACUCACUCACCUUAUAAUGCUUGAUGAAACACCCCCCUCCAAGAAGCUCCAAAUUCGGCCAACACAAUGAGAAAUGAGAAAAAUAAGCCUAAGUCCCGACUUUAAAAUGUUUUCUCGCCUAGUGAUUCCUUCUUCGUGAUCGCGAUAGGGAACUCGCAAUCGCAAAGGCAAAAUGCUAAGCCCAAGAAAAAUGUCCUUCGCGAACGCGAGACUCGCCUCGUGAAAGCGAAGGCUUAGUUGACUUACCCAUUGUGAACGCGACGCCCUCAACGCGAACGCAAAGGCCAUUGACUAACCCCCUCCCCAGCUGGCCUUACACUUCGUGAACGUGAAGUACUGAACGCAAAAGCGAAGGCCAGUGGUCCAGAGCAUCACGAACGUUGUUCCCCUCUCACGAACGUGUAGGAAAAAAUCGCACCCAGGCUCAUUCCUUCUUCGCGAGUGCGACUCCUUCUCCGCGUUUGCGAAGAAGGAAUCCAGAACAUCAAUUUCUGCAGUUUUUGACUUAGCUCCGGGCGGUCCGAAACACACCCAAGCCAUCCGGGACCCCGUCCAAUUUCACAAACAAGUACAUAAAUAUAAUACGGACCCGCUUGAAACCUCGGAACACAUAGAAAAAUAUCAAAACCAAGAAUCGCAUCCCAAAACCAAAUCAAUCAACUUAUGAACUUCAAACUUCUUCAACUAGCUCUGAAUGCGUCGAAUCAUACACAGACAACUUGGAAUGACGCCAAAUUUUGCUUACAAGUCAUAGAUCACAAUACGGAUCUAUUUCCAGGCUCGAAAUCCCAAACAGACCUCGAUUACACAAAAGUAUACCUCAAACCAAAUUUAAAGAACUUGAAAACCUUUAAUGAGCCAACUUUCAACAUUAAGCGCUGAAAUGCUCCCGGGUAUCCCAAAACUCAAUCCGAAGAUACGCCCAAGUCCAAAAUCAUCAUACGAACUUAUUGGAACCAUCAAAUCCUGGUUCAGAGGUUGUUUACUCAAAAUGUUGACUCAAGUUAAACCUGGUCAUCUUAGGCCACUAUUAAGGAAUUUAGUGUUUCGAUUUUAGCCCGAACCCUUCCAAACCCGAACCAACCAUCCCCGCAAGUCAUAAAACAAUAAAAGCGCAUACGAGAAGUCUUAAUUAGGGGAACGGGGAUCUAAAAAGCAAAGAGACCGGUCAGGUCGUUACAUUCUCCAUCUCUUAAACAAAUGUUCAUCCUCGAACGGGUCUAGAAUCAUACCUGGAGUGUUGAAUAGGUGUGGAUAUCUGCUCCACAUGUCUUCCUCAGCCUCCUAAGUCACCGCCUCGACUGGUUGACCCCUCCACUGGACCUUUACCGCAGAAAUCUUCUUGGACCUCAACUAGCAAACCUGCCUGUCAACAAUGGCAACUGGCUCCUUCUCAUAACCCAAACUCUCAUCUAGCUGGGAGCAUAGAUACAUGGAAGACCGUAUGAACUCUUGAUAGACUGGGAAGUAAAGCAAGCUCAUAAGCAACCUCCCCAACUCGCCUCAACACCUCAAAUAGGCCGAUAAACCUCGGACUUAGCUUGCCCUUCUUUCCGAACCUCAUUAUACCCUUCAUCCACGAGACAUUCAAGAGAACCUUCUCGCUACCAUAAAUGAUAAAUCACGUGCCUUCUGAUCCGCGUAACUCUUCUGCCUGGACUGUGGCAUGCGAAGUCACUCCUGAAUUAACUUUACCUUCUCCAAGGCAUCCUUCACUAAAUCCGUGCCAUAUAACCUAUCCUCGCCAGGCUCAAACCAUCCGAUGGGCGAACGACAGUGCCGACCAUAUAAAACCUCAAAUGGAGCCAUCUCGAUGCUGGACUGAUAACUGUCGUUAUAAACAAACUCGGCCAAGGGCAAGAAUCUAUCCCACUGCCCUCCGAAGUCAAUAACACAUCUUCUGAGCAUAUCCUCUAGAAUCUGAACUGUCCGCUCUGACUGCCCGACGGUCUGUGGAUGAAACACUGUACUAAGCUCUACUCGGGUACCCAACUCGCUCUGUACUACUCUCCAUUAAUGCGAAGUGAAUUGAGGGCCUCUAUCUGAAAUGAUAGAAAUAGGCACACCAUGCAACCGGACAAUCUCCUGAAUGUAAAUCUAGGCCAACCUCUCUGAAGAGUAAGUAGUCACCACCGGAAUAAAGUGUGCUGACUUGGUCAUCCUAUCGACAAUGACCCAAACGGCAUCAAAAUUCCUCAAUGUCCGCAGUAACCCAACUUCAAAGUCCAUAGUGAUGGGCUCCCACUUCUACUCCGGUAUAAUCAUCUGCUGGAGUAGGUCACUUGGCCUCAAGUGCUCAUACUUAACCUGCUGGCAAUUUAGAGAUCUCGCUACAUAGUCAACUAUGUCCUUCUUUAUCCGUCGCCACCAAUAAUGCCGACUAAGGUCACGAUACAUCUUCGUAGCACCUAGAUGAAUAGAAUACCGAGAUCUGUGUGCCUCCUCUAGAUUCUUCUCCCUCAAGCCAUCAACAUUAGGAACACAUAGGCGACCCUGGAGUCUCAGAACACUAUCCUUACCGAUAGUAACCUCCUUGGCACCACCCUGUAGUACCAUCUCUCUAAGAACCAGCAAGUGCAGAUCAUCGUAUUGACGAGCCUUGAUCCGCUUAAGUAAAAAGGACUGAGCCACGACACAUGCAAGAACUCGAAUGGGCUCUGAAAUAUCCAACCUCACAAGUCUGUUAGCUAAGGACUGAAUGUCCAAAGCCAAUGGCAUCUCCUCUGCUAAAAUGGAUUCCAAACAACCCAUACUCUCGGCCUUUUUGCUCAAGNNNNNNNNNNNNNNNNNNNNNNNNNNNNNNNNNNNNNNNNNNNNNNNNNNNNNNNNNNNNNNNNNNNNNNNNNNNNNNNNNNNNNNNNNNNNNNNNNNNNNNNNNNNNNNNNNNNNNNNNNNNNNNNNNNNNNNNNNNNNNNNNNNNNNNNNNNNNNNNNNNNNNNNNNNNNNNNNNNNNNNNNNNNNNNNNNNNNNNNNNNNNNNNNNNNNNNNNNNNNNNNNNNNNNNNNNNNNNNNNNNNNNNNNNNNNNNNNNNNNNNNNNNNNNNNNNNNNNNNNNNNNNNNNNNNNNNNNNNNNNNNNNNNNNNNNNNNNNNNNNNNNNNNNNNNNNNNNNNNNNNNNNNNNNNNNNNNNNNNNNNNNNNNNNNNNNNNNNNNNNNNNNNNNNNNNNNNNNNNNNNNNNNNNNNNNNNNNNNNNNNNNNNNNNNNNNNNNNNNNNNNNNNNNNNNNNNNNNNNNNNNNNNNNNNNNNNNNNNNNNNNNNNNNNNNNNNNNNNNNNCUCUCUAAGAACCAGCAAGUGCAGAUCAUCGUAUUGACGAGCCUUGAUCCGCUUAGUAAAAAGGACUGAGCCACGACACAUGCAAGAACUCGAAUGGGCUCUGAAAUAUCCAACCUCACAAGUCUGUUAGCUAAGGACUGAAUGUCCAAAGCCAAUGGCAUCUCCUCUGCUAAAAUGAAUUCCAAACAACCCAUACUCUCGGCCUUUUUGCUCAAGGCAUCCGCAACCACAUUCGCCUUGCCCGGGUGGUAAAGGAUAGUAAUAUCAUAGUCCUUCAGUAACUCAAGCCACCUGCAUUGCCUCAAAUUUAGGUCCCUCUGCUUAAACAAAUGCUGCAAACUGCGGUGAUCGGUGUAAACCUGACAGUACACCGUAUAAAGAUAAUGCCUCAAGAUCUUGAGAGCAUGAACUAUCGCGGCCAACUCCAAAUCAUGUACUGGGAAAUUCUUCUCGUCAGCGUCGCAAUACAUGUUAUACAUCCCUGAACCGGAGGGAAACACGAAUACCAGUGUUGUAGUCAAAACGGUCUUGAGCUUCUGAAAAAUCGCCUUACAAUCAUCGGACCAUCUGAACGGAGAACUCUUCUGGGUCAAUCUAGUCAAAGGUGCUGCAAUAGACGAGAAACCCUCCACGAACCGACGAUAAUAACCUACUAACCCCAAGAAACUCCUUAUCUCAAUCGCUAUGGUAGGAUGAGGCCAACCCUGGACUGCCUCGAUCUUCCUGGGGUCCACCAUAAUACCCUCAUAUAGUACAACAUGCCCCAAGAAAGACGUGGAAUCCAACCAGAACUCACACUUGGAGAACUUAUCAUAUAGCAUUUCUUCCCGCAAGGUCUGAAGCACUAGUAUCAAAUGUUGCUCGUGCCCCCAUACUGCGCAAGUAUAUCAAUAUGUCAUUAAUGAAGACAAUGACAAAUGAGUCGAGAUGCAUCCUAAACACCUGAUCCAUCAAAUCCAUAAAUGUCGCCGGGCCAUUAGUCAAGCCGAAGGACAUCACUAAAAACUCAUAGUGCCAUAUUUGGUCUGGAAAGCCGUCUUCGGAACAUCCGAAGCACGAAUCUUCAGCUGAUGUUACCCAGACCUCAAGUCGAUCUUAGAGAACACCCUGACACCCUGUAAUUGGUCAAACAAGUCAUCAAUCCGCGAUAAUGGGUCCUUAUUCUUUAUGGUGACUUUGUUCAACUGGCAGUAAUCAAUGCACAUCCGCGUACUCCCAUCCUUCUUUUUCACAAAUAACAUUGGUGCGUCCUAAGGCGACACACUGGGUCUAAUGAACCCCUUCUCAAGCAACUCUUGAAGCUGCUCUUUUAACUCCCUCAGCUCCUUGGGAGCCAUACGAUAAGGCGAAGUAGAAAUAGGCGGGUUACCUGGCACCAAAUCAAUGCCGAAAUUGAUAUCCUGAUCUGGCGGCAUACCUGGUAGAUCAGCAGGAAAUACAUCGAAAAACUCUCAUACCACCGGCACUGAAUCUAACGCGGGAGUCUAUGCAGUAGUAUCUCGAACAAAGGCCAAAUAGACCAAACAACCCUUCUCGACCAUAUGUCGAGCCUUCAAGAAAGAAAUAACCCAGCUGGAAGUACUAACAGACGACCCCUCCACUCUAAUCUAGGCAACUCAGGCAUCAACAAUGUGACACUCUUGGCAUAGUAAUCAAGGAUGGCAUGGUACGGAGACAAUCGGUCCAUGCCUAGGAUAACCUCAAAAUCAUCUAUAUCGAGCAGUAGAAUAUCCGCUCUGGUCUCAUAACCACAGAAAGUCACCACACAGGAUUGGUAGACCCGAUCCACAACAACAGAAUCACCCACUAGCAUGGACACAUAUACAGGAACGCCCAGGGACUCGCGAGAUACAUCCAGAUAAGGAACAAAUAGAGAAGAAAAAUAGGAAUAAGUAGAUCCAGUAUCAAAUAAUACCGAUGCAUCCCUACGUCAGAUAGAAAUAGUACUUGUGAUCACUGCAUGGGAGGCGACUACCUCUGGCCUGGCGGGAAAAGCAUAGAAUCUAGCUGGAGCGCCACCUGACUAGCCUCUACCUCCAGGGAGACCCCUAAAAACAUGCCCUCAGCCUCAGGCCGGGCGGGCGGGCGGUGUGGUAGCUGGUGCGGUAAUCAUGGUCCGAUGGUCCUGCUGCUUGGCCUUGCCCCGAAAUCUGGAACAAAACCUCUUCAUCUGGCCAAACUCCCCGCACUCAAAACAACCCCUCGGAGCAUUAGACUGUUGACCUGAAGUCUGACCCUGAUGGUCUGAAUACCCACUAGAGGAAUCCUAAAUAGCUGGCAGACGUAAGUACUCUCUACAAUAGCACUGAAGUAGGGUCGUGCUAGAGCACUCCGAGCAGGCGGUGGUGCCGACUGCAUGGGCCUGCUAGACUGGCCCCUCAUAAACUUACCUCUGCCCCCAGGUAGGGCGCCACUGAAUCCACCAAACUACCAGGGCCGCUUGUCCCUCGGUGCAAACUCUUCGCUCCGGUUGCGGAUACGCUCGAUCCUCCGAUAUAUAUCCACAACCUGCUGAAAGGGAGUCCCCAUCUCUGCCUCACGGGCCAUAGAAACCUAAAUAUUAGGGUGCAGACCUGCAAUGAACCUCCCCACCCUCUAUGUGUCUGUGGGGAGUAUAAUAGCUGCAUGGCGAGACAAGUCAGUGAAUCUCGCCUCAUAGUCAAUCACAUAUAUAUGACCAUGACGGAGUCGCUCAAACUGACCCCGAAGCUCCUCUAUCUCCGAAGGUGGUAUGUACUUCUCUAAGAACAGAUGUGCAAACCGAUCCAAAGUUAAGGGAGGUGAACCUAGUAGCCUGCUAAAGAGGUAAGCUUUCCACCAUCUGCAGGCCUUUCCCUCAAGAUGAAAGGUGGUGAAGUCCACCCUGUUGGACUCCAAUAUCCCCAUGUUACAUAGCCUAUCCUUGCAUCGUCGGUCAAUGAAAUCCUGCGGGUUCUCUGACCGCUCGCCCCCAAAGUUAGGGGGAUGAAGCCUAGUCCAUCUGUCCAACCACUUCUGCUAAUCAACGGUCACGAUUGGUAUAGACUUUGGCAUAACCGCUGCAACUGACUGGGCCACACCCGUAGGUAGUGCACCUGGGGUCUGAUAAACGGCAGCAACAUGCCCUGGACCCUGAGUGGUAGGGGUAUGUGCUCCCCCUCCCACCUGAGAUAUGGCUGAGUCUGCUAGAAAUAAACCAGUCGGCGUCAUAGAGUCCAUGAACCACAGCAUACGACCCAUAACCUCUUGAAAUCCUGGUGCAAUCAUGAAAUCUGUCGGGGCAGGCUCAGCUGCAGGCGCCUCAUCCUUCUCCUCAAUAAUAGGAUCCACCACUAGAUCCACUGGUGGUACACUGUGAGCAACUCUAGGACGCCCUCGUCCUCUGAUAAGAGCUGGAGCCCUCCCCCAGCCUCUGCCUCGACCUCUAGCAAUGGGGGGAGCAACCCCCUACCGCCUGGUACAUCUGCCGCGUGCGUUCUCACCAUCUGUGAGAGAUUAAUAGAAAGAUACUUAGCACAAUAUCAACUGUACGAUAGGAGAUAAAGAAAGAUAGGUUUCCUAACACCCUGUAGCCUCUCGAAGAUGAGUACGUAUGUCUCCCCACCGACCCAUAAGACUCUACUAGGCAUGCUCAUGACUCGUGAGACCUAUGUGAACCUAAAGAUCUGAUACCAAGCUGUCACGACCCAAAACCCGUAAUAGGUCACGAUGGCACCUAACACCGUCAUUAGGCAAGCCCACAAGUGAACCUCAAAUUUAGUUAUCCCUUUUUAACUUUUAAAACAAAAUUUUCCUUUUUAAAAGAAUGAAACAAGCAAGAUCUCAUGCAACCGUACAUACUCUUUUCUCAAAAGAAUACCAGCAUGAGAAAUACAUCAACCAUAGUGAUAGUAAUGAUAAGCACUACAGUGCAUAAAUGCUAGAAGCCCCCAAAACCCGGUGCUGCAAGUGCAUAAGCAAGGUAGAGAAUAUACAAAACUAAUACAACUACUGUCUGAAGGGUAAUAAACAGAAAUAAUAAACAAGGUAGAGGGAGACUCAGGUGCUGCAGAUUGAAGCAAGGCAAGCGGCUCACCACUAAGUCUCCGUAGAAGUACGGCUAUCGCCCGUGUGAUCACUGGUAGUACUUGUCUGAGUACCUGCACAUUCAAUGCAGAAGUGUAGCGUGAGUACGUAAAACAACGCGUACCCAGUAAGUAUCUAGUCUAACCUCAAAGAAGUGGCGACGAGGAGUUGACUUGACACUUACUAGUGGUCAAACAGUAAUAGAAAUACAUAAAUUAAACAUGGAAAAUGUACAAAAAAGUGGCAACGAAACAAAUAAAAGAAAUUAUAGUAAUUCCCCAAAUGAGUCCAUAUCAAAUCACUAUACAUGUCAUAACCGGGCUUGAAGGUGCUAACUCAACUGUUACCCACCCAAAUCCAGUCUCAAGUAUUAAUCAAGAAGUUGCAGAGGCGAACGACCCGAUCCCAUAGGAAUAGUGGUACUCAGUACUGCCGAAGCGAACGACCCGAUCCCUUAAGAAUAGUGUUACCAUACUACAGAGGCGAACGACCCAAUCCCAUAAGAGUAAUUUAAUACACUGCCGAGGCGAACAAACCAAUCCCAUAAGAGUAGAGAAAUUUACCUCGCUCGUGGAAGUACAUGCGAGUCGAGAAGAUACAGAACCAUAGUUCAUCACAUAUUUCCCAGUUUUUCCAAAAUAAGAGGCCAAAUCAGUAUCUUUAUUCUAAUCCUCAAUCUCAGUCAUAAUCAAGGAAAUAAAUACACAUGAUAGAUAAAAAUAGCACAAUUAAGGCAUAAUGUGAAUCUAAGUCUACCCGGACAUAACAUGAAUAUAACUACGUACGGACUCUCGUCACCUCGUGCGUACGUAGCUCCUCAUAACAAGUAGCACACAACAAUUAAUACACCUAAGGGGAUAAAUUCCCUCUUACAAGGUCAUGCAAGAGACUUACCUCACUUUCCAGUCAACUAACCGGCUCUUUAACCUCACUCGAACUCCCCAAAUGAAGCCAAGCAAUGCGAAGCUAAUCAAAAGUCGUAUAAACUAAUCAAUAAGUGCUCAAAAUUUCAUAAUUUAACCACUAGAGUAAUUACCCAACCCAAUUUGAAAGGUUCCUAAAAUUCACCCCUAGGCCCACGCUCCCGGAUUCAGUAAACUUUCGUAAAUAAAUAUCACUCAUAACCUCACGAAUACAAACAUAUAAUUUUUACUCAAUUCCAUAAUCAUUUUCGUGGUCUAAUCCCAUUUUUAUCAAAACAUAGGGUUUUCAACAAACUCCUAAAAUUUCCUCAUUUUUACAUGUUAAAAUCUACCCAUAAUCUAUGUAUUUAACUUACAUUAAGUAGGAAUCACUCACUUUAUAGUGCCUGAUGAACCCCCCCCCCCCCCUCCAAGAAGCUCCAAAGUCGGCCAACACAAUGAGAAAUGAGAAUAAUAAGCCUAAGUCCCGACAUUAAAAUUUUCUGCCUAGUGAUUCCUUCUUCGCGAUCGCGAUAGGGCACCCGCGAUCGCGAAAUGCCAAGCCCAGGAAAAAUGCCCUUUGCGAAUGUGAGACCAACCUAGCGAACGCGAAGGCUUGGCGGACCUACCCAUCGCGAACGUGACGGCCUCAACAUGAACGCGAAGGCCAUCGACUGACCCCCUCCCCAGCUAGCAUCACACUUCGCGAACGUGAAGGCCAGUGGCCCAGAGCAUCACAAAUGCGGUCCCCCUCUCGUGAACGCGUAAGGCAAAAUGCCACCCAGCCCCAUUCCUUCUUCGCGAACGCGACUCCUUCUCCGCGUUUACGAAGAAGGAAACUAGAACAGCAAUUUCUACAGUUUUUGACUUAGCUCCGGGCGGUCAGAAACAUACCCAAGCUACCCGGUACCCCGUCCAAUUGCACAAACACGUCCAUAAACAUAAUACGGGCCUGCUCGAAACAUUGGAACACAUAAAAAAAAUCGAAACCAAGAAUCGCACCCCAAACCAAAUCAAUCAACUUAUGAACUUCAAACUUCUUCAACUAGCUCUGAAACGUCGAAUCAUAUUUAGGCAACUCGGAAUGACGCCAAAUUUUAUGUACAAGCAAACUAUCACCAUACGGAUCUAUUCCAAGUCUUGGAGUCCCAAACGGCCCUUGAUUACACCAAAGUCUGCUUCAAACCAAAUUUAAAGAACUUGAAAACCUUCAAUGCGCCAACUUUCAACAUUAAGCGCUGAAACGCUCCCGGGUCACCCGAAACUCAAUUCGAAGACACGCCUAAGUCAAAAAUCAUCAUACGAACCUGUUGGAACCAUCAAUUCUAGUUCCGAGGUCAUUUAAUCAAAAUGUUGACUCAAGUCAAACUUGGCCAUCUUAGGCAACUAUUAAGGAUAUCAGUGUUCCGAUUUCAACCCAAACCCUUCCAAACCCGAACCAACCAUCCCCGCAAGUCAUAAAAGAGUAAAAGCACAUACGAAAAGUCUUUAUUAGGGGAACGUGGAUCUAAAAAGCAAAAUGCCAGUCUGGUCGUUACAAGUUUUGUCCCGUAUAUCAAAAAGAAAUUAUCAAAAUAUUGACUUGGUUAGUACCAACAUAGUUAGGAGUGUGCAUGGGAAAGAACAUGUUAAUUUGUAUGAUGGAGAGGGUCAUCUUCAUGGUAAACCAUAGAUUCCUAUGGUAACUCUUAAUUAUACCUUAGUGACUCUGGAAAAAAUCUCAUUUUUACAAUCAGGGUAAGAACAAAGCCAACCUCAUCGUUUCAUGUGCAUUAUGUGGUGAGCCAAGAUUGAAAUUCAUUGCAGUGCAUUGUAGAUCAAGAACUUGGCCCGAAUCUCUGUUGAGGCAAAAUCCUGAGUAACGGUUGGUUUAGGAAAGCAUUAUAGGCCUUCUUUGUCCCGUUUUGAGCCUUUCGAGCCCAUCAAAUGACAUUAAUCCCUAGCAUUCCCCCUUUGAGCCUUAAGCCUUUUCUUGGACAAUCAAAUCUUAGCCCAUACCCUUUCCUGUGCUAAAUGCACUACCCCUCUCUUGGCCUAACCUUCUUGCGCGCACUGAAAACAUGUAACUUCGGACGAAGACCAAAAUGAAGGCGACAAACAUGAAAAGGUGAAAGAUGAAAAUUCCAAGGCAAUCAAACACAUGACUUCAAGAAUAGAAGGAGGAAACUCCACAAAUUCAAAAGGAGGAUCUAACGAGAAGUAGAAAACUUUCGCAAAUUCGGAGGAAACAAAAGAAAAACAGGAAAAAAAAGGAGAAAAAGAGGAAAACUCCACAUUAAAGAGGAGAAAACUCCACAAAUUCAAAGAAGGGAAACCCCAACAAAAGAAGGGAAAACUACCUCAACAGAAAAAGAAAGGAGAAAACCUCCAAGAAACGGAAUGACUUCAAGAAAAGAAGGAGGAAACUCCGCAAAUUCAAAAGGAGGAUCUAACGAGAAGGAGAAAACUUCUACAAAUUUGGAGGAAACAAAAGAAAAAAAAGAGAAAAAAAAGGGGAAAACUCCACAAAUGCAAAGAGGGAAAACCCCAACAAAAGAAGGGAAAACUACCUCAAAAGAAAAUGAAAGGAGAAAACUUCCAAAAAAAGGAAGAAGAAUCUCCUACAAGCUCAAAAGAAGUCGAAGCAAACAAAGGGACUUCGAGCCAAACAAGAUCCCGAAGCAUGGUUUGAACGCCGAAGACACGGAUACAGUGCAAUGCUCAAGGAGCGAUUAGUCAUUUUCGUCCCAAAUGAAUACUACCCAUCCCCAAGCUUACAUUACAAGCCAAUAGAAAAGCCCUACAUGAUCCUAUUCCAAAUGUUCUCACAUUAGUAGAUACCCACAUAAAAGUCAAGCAUAUGGUAUCUCAAUCGCAUGCAUUGAAUAUCUUUCUAAGCGUGAGUGUACUUCUCAAAAUGUCCUUAAAAAAACAUAAAUACUUCAUAAAUGUGUGAAAAUUAGAACUUUCUUGUGGGGAGGGAACUUGAAGCAUGAGUUACUCGGAAUUUAAAACCUUUGUUUGAAGCAACCAAAAAAUCUUGUCGAUACUUAGGUAUACUUGAGAUACCACUUGAAGCUAUAGGAAUUACCCAUAAGCCAAUCUCAGUUUGCUGGAAAGUAUAUGGUGGAGAUUCUUAUGCACAAAACUAUUUCUUGGAACCAACCAAAGUCAAGAUAAAAAUAUGAUCGAUCAAUAAAAUCGCAGUCUUUCUUUACAAUGUUCUCUACAAAAAAGCUACAAAAUAACAAAAAAUACAGAAAACAAAAAGAAUCAAGUUUUGUUGACAGUAGAGUUAGGUUUUGUCGUAACAGAACUACGUCUGAUCUGACUUCCCACAGGGGGAUACGUAGGCAACCCACGUAGGGUCCGGUCCCAUUCUUGUAAUAGAAAAUCAAAAAUAUCAUUUAUAUACGUUCGAAACUAUGCCGCGACUUGAUUUUCUUUGGUAGGAAUGCAUAGGCAAUCCACAUCGGAUUCAGUCAUCUUUUGCAAUCAAACUAAAUUUUGGCUUGAUUCCAUUCGGAUACGUAGGCACUCUAAGUUAGACUCGGCAUAUCAUUUAAAAAUUAUAUCAUUUUGCAUCAGUUGCAAUUGAAGGCCUGAUUCCAUUUGGAUACGUAGGAUGCCCGAGUCAUUAAUAACAGAACCUUGUUCAUCAACCUNNNNNNNNNNNNNNNNNNNNNNNNNCAAAUUUUACAGGUACCCACCUUCUAAUAUGAGUAUCUUAGAUUUAAACGCACUGAUAUCGCUUCGGACCGGUACAUAGCCCGAAUUUCUUUUUACCUUCAAGUGCUCCGAUAUCGCUUUGGACUGGUACACAACCGAGAUUUUCUUCAAUAAUCCAAGUGCUCCGAUCACUUCGGACAGGUACACAGCCCAGAUUUCCUUCAAAAAUCCAAAAUGCUCAGAUAUCGCUUCUGACCGAUAUCUAGCCUGGAUCUCUUUCGAAUUAGAUUUCCAACAUGGGACCCUAUUUUAUUCAACAAUCACAUAUCCAUCUUCGCAAGCCAAACAUAAUCAUAGUCCACACAUCGUCAACUUUGCUGAUCAAAGACGCGACACAAUGUGGAAUUAUCUUCUAUCAAUAAACUGUGGAAGAUUUUGAGGACGAACGUCGAGCUUUCCAAUAGAAUCAAUAACAUGUCCCCAAGAAUCAUUCAUACGUCCCAUUGACAUGGGAUGGUCAAAAUAAAACACCCAGUGUCAUCACAGCUUGACGCUGGGGCAACUUUCAAAAUCAAAACAAAAUUAAAUCACCUCAUCGCUUUCUUGAACUACAAUCGGCCUGAUUCUCAUUAUAUCCGAGAUAUGUAGGAAAACUCAACACAAAGCCCGGCCGCAUCCACUUCAAAGUCCAUUCAAUCAAUCCAUCCAAUAUCCACAUCCACGUCCCAGUGUUAUCAAAGUCCAACAUUGCGGUAAUCUUGGAAGCAAUGUCGAGAUCACACAAACCUUUUCGUCCUCGAACAAUUGUCUUCCACUGCAUGAGGCUACAAUUCAUAAGUAGCACUCAAAUGCAUUUCAGAACUACACGCGACCUGAUUCUUGUGUAACCCGAGAAAUGUAGGCAACUCAGAUACUAGAGUUCGGUCACAAUCUUCAAUACCUCCUCAUUUCCCACUCUGUUAUGUCGGGUCAAAUUGAGUAUGAUGUCAAUUUCUUUACUCGGAGACUCUUACAUCAUCUUCGGUCAAAGAGGGGCAGUUGUUGUUACUCAAUUUUGAUCCUCCGUAUUUAAAAAUUAACUUCAGCACACUUCCUAGUAAAAAUGACAAAAAUGUAGUUUUUUGCACAUUAUAUAGCUUUAAUGCAAUUUACUGAUAAUUAUUCAUAUUUUUACAAGAUAUGGGAAUUUUUAUCAUUUUAUUGCAAAUAGUUAAAUACUACCAUUUUUGUAAUUCUAAAUUUUAAGCAAUUUAUUGACUUGUCAUAUUUUUCAAAUAUUGGGAUAUUCUAUCAAUUUAUUAUCUUUUCAAAAAAUAAAUAAUAAUUACUACAAUAUUAUUAUAGUAGUCGACAUUUAAUAAAUACUACGCGUAAUAAUUUUGUUAAAUAAUUAUUUUCUAAUUUAUAGCACAAUCUAGACUUUUCUUUUGUUUUGACCACAUAUUUUCUAUCAUUUUACAUUUAUCUUUUACUAAAAAAGAGGACCACAUAUUUAGUUUACACAUUUUUAUUUUAUAUUUUUAUUAGUUAAAUUUUGUCUAAAUAAGAGGGCAAAACCCUAAAACUCUAACUCUCCCCUCUCAUUCUUACACCCUCUCAAUCGCACACCCCAAAAAAUCUCUCGUUCUCUCUUCUUUGAGAGACAUAGCCAGCUCCAGUCCCCUCUUAGGCCGCCACAUCCUUCUCCGGCGAGCUGGCUGGCUGAUGGCCAUGCCCACGUUCCCACAACCCUCUAUCUCCUCUCCAAUAGCAAUAAACGGCAAGCAACAGAGAAGUGCAGAUCUGGCCGGAGAAAGAACAAACUCUGGCAACCACCACUGGUUGGAGUAGCGAGCCCAACGACCUCCCCUCUCUCAUACUCUGUUCUUCUCCCUUUUCUCACCCUUUGCACCACGGUCACGCCGCCGCCGGAGGUGAUGACCGGCCUGGUGGCAACCUCCCAUAUUCGGCUCGACCAUCUGUCAUGACCCAUAAUCCAACUAGUCGUGAUGGAACCUAACCCAACCCGUUACGUAAGCCAACUAACAAUGAGCCAGUUCAAAUGAUAUUUAUUAAGAGAAGGAAUGAUUAUACAACUAAACUAUUAUACAAAGAAUUCCCAAGGACUGGUAGUACAAAUCAUGAGCUUCUAAGAUAUGGAGUUUACAAAGCAGGUUUGAAAUAAAAUACACCAUCUGUUUGAAAUAUACAUGAACAGAUCUGUAAUACUAAAGCUACCAAGAUCAAGACGUAGCUAUGACUGGAAUGCAGGUACAUCUUCAGAUCCAGCUCCCGCUGUACAUAGCUACAUCAGCAUCCGACAUCUGCACGCAAGGUGUAGAAGUGUAGUAUGAGUACAACCGACUCCAUGUACUCAAUAAGUAACAAACCUAACCUUAGGGUGAAAGUAGUGACGAGAUGGGACAAUGGUCUGUCAUGACCCACUGCCUCCCUCCAUGAACUGUCGUGACGGCACCUAGUGUCUACGGCUAGGUAAGCCUAACACUUUGCGGAAAUGAAACAAAAGCAUGAACAUUAACUACUAACAGUAACAAAUAUCUAAUAAGCAACUAAUUGCCACUCGGCAUAUACCAUUAUCACCUCUGAAAAAGUACAAAAAGCAUUCCCAAAACCCGGAAACCCGCAAGUCACAAGCUGCUAAGAAGUCUUAACUGUUCUAUACAUCUUUUCUACAGAUAGAGGAAAAAUGUACAUAGGGGGAUAGAGGGGGACUCCGAGGAUCUGCGGGCUCGAGCAUAUGUACCUUGAAGUCUCCAACAAAGCAGCAACUGCAACUAGUGAUGAGGCUGGUAAGAUAAACCUAGAUCUGCACACGAAAAAUAUGUGCAGUAAAGGACGUGAGUACACCAUAACGGUACCCAGUAAGUGCCAAGUCUAACCUCGGUCGAGUAGCGACGAGAUCAGGUCAGGGACCUACUAGUAUAAAUAUAAUGAAAUAAGACAAAAUGAAAUAUCACAGUAAAAAUAAAUACGAAAAUCUAACAGGACUAGAAUCAAUGAAAGUCAACAGCUCAGAACACAGUGAUAACAACAGGGGAUCUCCCGAGAUACCAUCUCGUAGUCCCAAACAUAAAUGUUCAGGGGGAAUCUCCUAGAAAAUUAUUUCGUAGUCCCAAAGUAAAUAUGCAGUACAGGGAGAUCUCCCGGAAUACCAUUCUGUAGUCCCAAAGUAAAUAUGCAGUGGAACGAAUCGAAAUAACAGUUACAACAAGAAAUCUUACAGUUUAGACUAAGUUCAAGUCAAGGAAAACAGGAGAUUUCACUAAACAUGCUGCACAGAGUUCAAAUAGGCAAUUAAACAAGUAGGCAUGCUAUUCUAGCCUAAACAUGAUAGUUACAUAUGCUAGUGUGUUUCAAAUAAGGAGAAAGCAAGUUAUGACUUAGUUAAAAAUGGAGUUUUACAACAAAUAGCACGUGUUCGUACUCGUCCCCUCACGUACACGGCGCUCACAUAUCAAACAGUAGCAAAUCCUAAGGGGAAUUCCCCCACGCAAGGUUAGGCAAGCCACUUACCUCGAACCAAGCUCAAUCAAUCAGUCACAAUGCCUUUCCCACAAAUAUCCGGCUCCGAGUGGCCCAAAUCUAGAAAAAAUCAAUUACAUAACAUAAAUAUAGCUACAAGAAAUUAAUCUAGCUAACGAAAUCAAAGCUACAACAAGAAAUUAGAAAAACGCCCAAAAAGUCUCCCCGGGCCCACGUCUCGAAAUUGGGUAAAAGUCACAAAAUACAAUCACUCAUUCACUCACGAGUCUAACCAUACCAAAUUCACUCAAAUUCGAUACCAAAAUCUCGAUCAAAACCCCAAAAUUUGGUCUAAGAACUUUUCUCAAUUUUUCCAAUUUUUCACCCCAAAUCCGAAAUUAAAUGAUAAAAUUAAUGAUAGAUUAGUGGGUUAUAACCAUAAACGAGUUAGGAAUCAUUACCCAAUGAUAUGAACUCAAAACCCUCAUUUUUGAACUUUAAAUUCUGGCAAGGUAUGCCCUACUUCGCGAACGCGGUCAAAGCCUCGCGUUCGCGAAGCACAAGCUGCUUCAGACCAAAAAUAUUCUCAUCGUGAACGCGAUGCACUGGUCGCGAACGCGAAGCUCAACUAGCCUGACCCAACGUGAAUGCGGGACACUCAUCGCAAACGCGCAGGCUAACACGCCUGGAACCCAUCUGACCGUUGACUCUACGCGAACGCGGGAACGACAUCGCGAACAUGAAGAACAACUCAGCUGCCUUUCCCAGAUGCUCUAUGCGAUCGCGAGACCUCUCUCGCAAACGCGAUGAAUGAUUGUCUGCAACAAAAACACCAGAAAUUUGCUAUCUUUCAAGUCCAAAAACUAGUCCGUUAAGCACCCGAAACUCACCCGAAGCCCCCGGAACCUCAACCAAACAUACUAACCAAUCUUAAAAUACCAUACAAACUUAGUCGAGCCCUCAAAUCACAUCAAACAACGCUUAAAUCACGAAUCACCCUCCAAUUCAAACUUAGAGAACUUGAAACUUCAAAAAUUCUACACCCGAUGCCGAAACCUAUCAAACCACAUCUGAUUGACCCCAAAUUGUGCACACAAGUCAUAAUCAACACUACGGACCUACUCCAACUUCCGGAAUCGGACUCCGACCCCGAGAUCAAAAUUUUCACUACCGGUCCAAAAUUCUAAAAAUUCGACUUUCACCAAUUCAAGCCUAAAUAAGCUACGGACCUCCAAAACACAAUCUGGACACACCCCUAAGUCCAAAAUCACCUAACAGAGCUAACAGAACAAACAUAAGUCCAUUUCGGAGUCAUCUUCACACAGUUCUAACUACGGUGCCAAUCCUAAGGCUUAAACCUCCAUUUAGGGACUAAGUGUCCCAAACACUUCCAAAAACCAAAAUGAAACAUACCGGCAAGUCACAAUAGCAGAAAAAGAUACGGGGGAAGCAAUUAAAUAGGGGAUCGGAGCUAUAACUCUCAAGAUGACCGGCCGGGUCGUCACAGGGUCAGGGUCCAACUCCAAUAACCAGCAACAAUUCAUAACAAUAUAAUAAAGAUGGUACAAGAAAUAACUUAGCUGGUUCACAGUUACGGAUAUUAGGCAUGCUUUUCAAGUAUAACAAUAGACCCCAGAUCUUUCACCGAAAACCUCAAAAAUAUAUGAAUAAGUUUGAAAACUGUGAUUUUCCAAAAAACCUUUCAACAAUAAAUCAGAUGUUUCAUAUUCAGAUAGAAAGAGGAGAAUACAUAUCUAUUCAUACAUGUCAAUAUACAGGUGAAAUCAUGAAUGUCACCAAUACCGGUUAGCAUGAGGAAAUGCAUCUAUAUGCAUGUAUCUCGAGUACGUAUGUCAAAUGCAAUGCAUCUCAAUGAUAAACUCAUGUACUCACACUCUCAGAGUACUAAAUCUCACUAUCUCGUAUUCUCUCUCACCAUGCUCAAUACUCAGCACGCUUAGUCACUCAACACUGUACAAUACCUGCUGCGGCAUGUAGCCCGAUUCACAUAUAGCCAUAAGGCAUGUUGCGGCGUGCAACUCGAUCCAUAUAUAUAUAUAUAUAUAUAGCCAUAAGGCUUGUUGCGGCGUGCAACUUGAUCCACACAUAUAUAUAGCCAUAAGGUUUGUUGCGGCGUGCAAUCCGAUCCAUUUAUAUAUAUAGCCAUAAAGCUUNNNNNNNNNNNNNNNNNNNNNNNNNNNNNNNNNNNNNNNNNNNNNNNNNNNNNNNNNNNNNNNNNNNNNNNNNNNNNNNNNNNNNNNNNNNNNNNNNNNNNNNNNNNNNNNNNNNNNNNNNNNNNNNNNNNNNNNNNNNNNNNNNNNNNNNNNNNNNNNNNNNNNNNNNNNNNNNNNNNNNNNNNNNNNNNNNNNNNNNNNNNNNNNNNNNNNNNNNNNNNNNNNNNNNNNNNNNNNNNNNNNNNNNNNNNNNNNNNNNNNNNNNNNNNNNNNNNNNNNNNNNNNNNNNNNNNNNNNNNNNNNNNNNNNNNNNNNNNNNNNNNNNNNNNNNNNNNNNNNNNNNNNNNNNNNNNNNNNNNNNNNNNNNNNNNNNNNNNNNNNNNNNNNNNNNNNNNNNNNNNNNNNNNNNNNNNNNNNNNNNNNNNNNNNNNNNNNNNNNNNNNNNNNNNNNNNNNNNNNNNNNNNNNNNNNNNNNNNNNNNNNNNNNNNNNNNNNNNNNNNNNNNNNNNNNNNNNNNNNNNNNNNNNNNNNNNNNNNNNNNNNNNNNNNNNNNNNNNNNNNNNNNNNNNNNNNNNNNNNNNNNNNNNNNNNNNNNNNNNNNNNNNNNNNNNNNNNNNNNNNNNNNNNNNNNNNNNNNNNNNNNNNNNNNNNNNNNNNNNNNNNNNNNNNNNNNNNNNNNNNNNNNNNNNNNNNNNNNNNNNNNNNNNNNNNNNNNNNNNNNNNNNNNNNNNNNNNNNNNNNNNNNNNNNNNNNNNNNNNNNNNNNNNNNNNNNNNNNNNNNNNNNNNNNNNNNNNNNNNNNNNNNNNNNNNNNNNNNNNNNNNNNNNNNNNNNNNNNNNNNNNNNNNNNNNNNNNNNNNNNNNNNNNNNNNNNNNNNNNNNNNNNNNNNNNNNNNNNNNNNNNNNNNNNNNNNNNNNNNNNNNNNNNNNNNNNNNNNNNNNNNNNNNNNNNNNNNNNNNNNNNNNNNNNNNNNAAAUCAACCCAAAAGUCCAACCCGGGACCGCACCUCAGAACUCGAUGAAACUUAUAAUAUCCGGCAACCCAUUCAAUUACGAGUCCAACCAUACUAGUUUUACCUAAAUCCAACUCUGAAUCGAUGUUCAAAACUCAAAAACUCACUCUAUAAAACAUUAGGCUAAAACCCCCAAUUUAUCUUUAAAAAUUCAUAAUCCAAUUACUAAAAACGAAGAUAGAAUCACGAAAUAUAAUCAAAACUGAAUUAAGAACAUUUACCCCAAUUCGUGUGGUGAAAUUCCCCUCCUUGAUCGCCCAACCGGGCUUCAAAAUCCCAAAAUGAGUAAAAAGUCGAACCCACGAACAUGAAGGAUCUGUCCAGGUCUCAUCGCACCUGCAACAACAGGCUCCACUCCUGCGCAAUCGUAGGUGCGAACCAGCUUCAUGCACCCGCGCUGCCUCACGCUUCUGUGCCCAUUUUCCCCACAUUUGCGAAGUCGCAGAUGCGACUCAAAUUCCGCACAUGCGAUGGCUCAAAGCCCAGUCCUCUUUCGCUUAUGCGAUGACACUGCCGCUUUUGCGGCUCUGCACCUGUGCCCAAAGCUCCGCAGGUGCGGUCACACCAGAACCUCAGCUAAACCAGCCUCAUCCAAAAUUUCAAAAAUAAUCUGAACCUCGUCCAAAACUCACUCGACCCCUUGGGACCCCGUCUGAAUAUACCAACAUGAUCCAUAACAUAACACGAAACUACUCGAGGUCUCAAGUCACACAUAACAAUAUCGAAAUGAUUAAUCGCACCUCAAAUCAAUCUUAAAUGAACUUUCAACUUUCAACUUCCAAACUUACGUCGAAACAUAUCAAAUCAACCCAGAAUGAACUCAAAUUUUGUACACAAGUCCCAAAUGACAUAACGAAGCUAUUCCAAUUCCCGGAAUCACAAUCUGAAUCCGAUUUCCACAAGGUCAACUCUCGGUAAAAUUUAUGAACUUUCCAAUCCUUCAAAUUUCCAAUUUUCGCCAAUUAGUGCCGAAUUCUUCUAGAAAUAUCCAAAUGCAAAUACCGGCAUGUGCCCAAGUCCAAAAUCGCCAUCCAGACCUAACAGAACCAUCAAAACUCCGUUCCGGGGUCAAAUUCACCAAAAUCAAACUUGGUCAACUCUUCCAACUUAAUGCUUCAACGAUGAAAUUCAUUCUUCCAAAUCAAACUCCGGAUCACCUGAAAACCAAAACCGACGAUACACACCAGUCAUAAUAUAUCAUACGGAGCUACUCAUAUCCCCAAACUACCGAGCGAAAUGCAAAUGCUCAAAACGACCGAUCGGGUCGUUACACCAUCUAUCCCCCACUUCAAUGCUUCGCCGGCAAUAGUUCGGUAGCCAUGGCUGAGCACCAUCGACAAACCCAUUGUUUCAUUAUUUUUAUUGUAUUGUUUUCACUUUAUUCUUUCUUUUAUUGGAAAACAGACCUAAAAGAAACUUGAAUCUUGGCUG
rnacentral:lncRNA from 1 species